GACAGAGGAUGCAAGCGUUAUCCGGAAUGAUUGGGCGUAAAGCGUCUGUAGGUGGCUUCUUAAGUCCGCUGUCAAAUCCCAGGGCUUAACCCUGGCCAGGCGGUGGAGACUACCAAGCUGGAGUACGGUAGGGGCAGAGGGAAUUUCCGGUGGAGCGGUGAAAUGCGUAGAGAUCGGAAAGAACACCAACGGCGAAAGCACUCUGCUGGGCCGACACUGACACUGAGAGACGAAAGCUAGGGGGAGCGAAUGGG
rnacentral:rRNA from 1 species